rnacentral:rRNA from 1 species
CCUACGGGGGGCAGCAGUGAGGAAUAUUGGUCAAUGGGCGAGAGCCUGAACCAGCCAAGUCGCGUGAGGGAAGACGGCCCUACGGGUUGUAAACCUCUUUUGUCAGGGAGCAAGGUGCAGGUCGGGACCUGCUGUGAGAGUACCUGAAGAAAAAGCAUCGGCUAACUCCGUGCCAGCAGCCGCGGUAAUACGGAGGAUGUGAGCGUUAUCCGGAUUUAUUGGGUUUAAAGGGUGGGCAGGCGGGGGGACAAGUCAGCGGUAAAAUCGCGGGGCUCAACCCCGCCCCGCCGUUGAAACUGUGUCCCUUGAGUGAGCGAAGGGUAGGCGGAAUGCGUGGUGUAGCGGUGAAAUGCAUAGAUAUCGCGCAGAACUCCGAUCGCGAAGGCAGCCUACCGGCGCGCAACUGACGCUCAUGCACGAAGGCGUGGGUAUCGAACGGGAUUAGAUACCCGUGUAGUC